GAGGGUAUAGCUCAGUGGUAGAGUGUGUGCUUAGCAUGCACGAGGUCCUUGGUUCAAUCCCCAGUAACUCCA
rnacentral:tRNA from 1 species